GCGGGCCGCGCAGCCGGGGCCUGGACGGCGGGCCCUGGGCGCCCAGUCCUGGGUCCGGUCCGAAACGUCUAUCUCCCCGCGAAGGCCCGAGGGCGGGCGCGAGAUCGCGGGGAGUCGGGGAGGGGGCGGGAUCAGGUUGGGCCGGAGACCAGUUAAACCCGGCCUGUGUCUCCCUCGUGCUCGCCGGCCCCACGCGCGGCCCGCCUGCUCGGCAGGUGAGGGGGCGCCGAGGCGGGCCCCGCGGGGCUUGGUCGCGCAGCUCCUCUGCGCUGGGGCGAAGCGUCUGUUCUCACUGCCACGGGCCACAGCUUGUGAAACCAGAGGGGCCUGACAACGCCUUUGGCGGCUGGCCAGGAGCGGGACUCCUGCCCCUGGAGGAACGCCACUGAGUGUCCCCCUGGCUGGUCGUGGAAGAGAAGCCACUGGACCCUUUGGGGAUUAGAUACAGAAGCCUGGGAUUGAGCGGGAGUGAAUGGUGGUCAUGGCUAAACUAUCUGGGUUCUGAACUGCUUUUCUUCAGUAAAAUGCUCGUUUUUGGUCACCUAA